rnacentral:lncRNA from 1 species
GGCCUCCUGCGCGAAGCGCGCCAGCGCGCGGGCCGCCGCCUCGGCCUCCUCUCGCUGCCGGGCCUCGUCGUCUAGGCGCUGGCGCACGUGCGCGAUGUCCUCGAGCAGGUGCUCCUGCUCCAGGCGUAGCUGACCGCGCGCCGCGCCCAGGCGCAGCACCGCGCCGCGCAUCUCGCGGACCUCGCGCUCGUACAGCUCGCCCAUAGCGGAGCGGCCCGCCUGCUGCUGCCGCAGCGCCGCAGCCUCGCCCUCCAGGCUGCGGUUGUGCGCCUCCAGCUGCCGCACCUUGUCGAUGUACCCGGCGAAGCGGUCGUUCAGCGCCUGCAGCUGCUCCUUCUCACUGCGUGAGGUGGCCACCGCCACCAUGCAGCCCUCCGGCCCGUUGCUCAGCGUGUCCAGCGAGUCGGUGCUUGAGGCGGCGCCUGCGCCACGGAAGCGGCUGGGCGAGGCGGACACGGAGCUCACGGACGUCCGUGUCCACGAGUGGAAGCCGCUGGAGGAGCCAGCGGCGGAGCGCGUCCCGCCUGCGCCACCCUUUCGGGCUAGCGCGUAGUGGAGGCUGCCGCCGCCAUGCAGCGGCGCGAACGGGGCGCCCAGCAGCGCGUCCGCGCCGCCGAAGCUCAUCAUGGCCUGAGCAGGUGCGCGAGGCCGGGACGGGGCGGGAGGCACUGCGGCAGCACCAGGGCGCCGGCCCUUUUAUAGCCGCCGCGGCCGGGUCCAACCCCUUGGCAGUGAGAGGGUGGGGAGGAGGGCCCCGCCCUCUCCGCCUCCUCCCCUGCGGCCCCCCGGCCGACCGGCUCCGCCGCAGUGAGAGGGGCGGGGCAGGGGACCGAGGAGGGAAGGGGAAUCGACGCUGCGUCAGAGGAGACCCUCGAGGUCGGGGAAGCGGGCAGAGGACUCCCGGAGUGGGCCAGUGAGGACCCCCGGGUGCGCGUCGGAAGAGCCUGCGAGUGUGUUCGGAAUAAGAAAGGGGACUUGAAACAGGGAGAGGACAAGGAGAAACCUGAUGGGAAUAGGGGCAGGAUGCCCUCGGGAUGGAGCAAUGGAAGAUUGCAGUCAUUAGGAUGAGGGGAUCCCUGUAUGAGACAGGACACGAGGCUUUCCAAAUAGUUAAGAGAGGCUUUCAGGAUAGGGGGUGCAGAGACUGUGCAGCCAGCCCCGGAACAGAGGAGGGAGCAAGGCAGUCCUGAAUGGGAGCAUGGACGCUCCAUAGAACGGAGACAGGAGACCCCUGACCGGGGGAGGUACAGUGUUCUCCUAACAUCUAGAGGACCCACUUGGAGAGCGCUCAGGAAACUCCGCGGCCAGCCCCGGAAUAGAUGAAGGGGGACCUGGAGUUGGGGAGAAUAGCAAGGCUACCCUGAAUGGGGGUAUGGGAGACACUGCAGAGGAUGGAGAGAGGGAACCCCGGAUGGGUGGGGUUGGGGGGAGGCAAGGCGUUCUCUAAAAAGUCUGCAGUGGCCCCCGAGAGAGGAGAUGGGAGACCCUGCUGCCAGCCCCAGUAAAGGGGACGGACCCUCAGCGAAGCGGGCAGAAGGUCCCCUGAACAGGCAGGAGAAAGCUGGGCUGAGUUUGAGGGGCAGAGAACCUACAGUGGGGGUACCGUAGGAGGGCUUGGGCAUGAAGUUGAGAGAGCUGGCCCCUGUGUGGGGUGGGGGGAAAUGAUGGGUGUCACCCGAGCCAGCUUCUGCACACUGGGGUCAGCUAGGCAGUUUGCUGGUCGAAUGACCUUGGACAAGCUGUGUCCUCCCACCCUUGUUUUUCCAUCUGUACAACGAAGGGGUCUUGCCCCAGAGACAAGCUCCAACUCCUGACCCCCGACUGCCCCAGGAAGUUCCACUUUGAGGGGUCUCUGGCUGAACUGGGGAUGGGGAACCCACAUCUUGCCGUUCUGUCAACACUAGGAAGUCCUCUUUUCUCCCUCCCCCUCCCCAUCUUCUCAGCCUCAACUUGUCCUCUCUUCCCCCACUCCUGUAACAGACAAGCAGGCGCCUGAGUCGGCAUCCCUUCUCUCUUACAGGGAAGUGAUGAGAUGCUUUCUGAGUACCAAAGUCCCUCACCCCAAUAGGAUGUCAGGUAGAAGAAGGGGUCCCCAGGAUUUAGGGGGCCCUGCAACGGCUGUGACAUUUGGCUCUUUAUUGGUUUUGGCUCAUGUUUUAUGCUGUGGGAGUGGGGGUGGUGCUGCGGCUGGCGCUUCAGCACCGGGGACAGGGCCUGCUCUUUGUUGGGCGUGGGGCGGGGAAAGAGAUUAACCCUCUGCUUUUACUUUAGGGGAAGGAAGGGAGGGACACUGUGCUGAGGGGACCCGAGAGGGGAGGCAAGUGAUCCAGCAGGGUCACAUAGUGAGCCAGGGACCCCUCCCUGGACUUCCUGUCGGGGGUCCAGUUCCGUGUUUUCUGGGCUGUUCCCCUCCUGCUUAGGGACCCCUGCGAAAGGACCCCUGGGGAUGCUGGGAGCCCUGAGACGCCCUUGAGAGUUUGUAGACUCGUACUUCCACUCUGAACCUCCCCCAGGCAGUUAUCUCAACACCCACUACACCCCUACUUUACGCGGGUUUUCCUGCUCCAGGAUCCCCAGGACAGAACAGACAUAUCCCCCAGGAAAGACCUCUGCCAGUUCCUUUCUCUUUGCCCUCUGUCUCCUUCCAGCCCCCUAGUUCUAAGCAGACCCUCAGAGCUGGGAAAUUGAUGGCGCUGUCCCUUUAACCACUUUUUACUGGAAGGAGAGUGCGCUGGGAGGAGGGAAGAGGGGGAGGGAGUUUCUGGUUUUGCAUGAAGCAGCAGAACAUGAUGAAGCAUUUUUCCCCCAUCUAAAGAUCCAGUCGUGCUCCAGUUUGCAGAGGGCAAGGGGCUGGUUGCAGGUGGUGCUGGGAGGAUGGAGUAGAGAUGGGGUUUCACCGUGUUAACCAGGAAUGUCUCGAUCUCCUGACCUCGUGAUCCACCCGCCUCAGCCUCCCAAAGUGUUGGGAUUACAGGCGUGAGCUACCACGCCCGGCCCUAGGCUCCACAACUCUAAGAAGCUUUGGCAUAUACCCAUCUGCUGUGUGGCUGGACCAUGUGGGUAAACUCUCCGGAGGCCUGCGUGAGCUAAGGGGGAUGCUCCAUCCCAUGCGCAGUGGAGCCUGCCUCCAUGGGCCCUGCUGGCCUUCAUGGCACCACCUCUCCCAUAGACAUCAGAGCUCCGAUGCCAGCGCUUCCCCCCACAGACCCACUCGGUGGUGCCCAGCCAGGCUACCCUGCACAGCAUCCCACUCAUCUAUGCCAGAGUGAUGGCUGCUCAGCUAGCCACGAGAGGGUAGCACACCCUCUGCCCAUCCUGCAACAUGUCUGAAGCCCACUUAGACCCCUUCAUCCCAUGGACACUACAUUAAGCACAUGCACAAGCACCUGGGCUUCAGUGGGGGCUUAUUUGGCCUCCCCAGGAUGGACUGGAGCAUCAGUAGUGCCCGGGUUUAUCACAGGACAGAUACUCAAGAC